UGGCUUCAGCAGCACAUGCACCAAAAUUGGAACGACAUAGAGAAGAUCGGCAUGGCCCCCACACAAGGAAGACAUGCAUAUUCGUGAAGUGUUCCAUAUUUUU